rnacentral:lncRNA from 1 species
GGACAUGUGGCGGUUGUAGGUCAGCCAAAAGAGAUCUGCAAUCAUUAUUGCACCGGACCCUGAGGUCUAUUUAAACCCGUCCCCCUCCUUCAGGGGUUUCACCUUGCCUGAGAUUUUUCUUCGGUCCCCUCUUCUUCCUCGAGAGCUUCGUCCUCCUCCGACAUCUCUCUCGAUCUUAGGCGCCCUUCAGGUCGACCUCCAUCG